rnacentral:rRNA from 1 species
CCCAGACUCCUACGGGAGGCAGCAGUGAGGAAUAUUGGUCAAUGGCCGGAAGGCUGAACCAGCCAAGCCGCGUGAGGGAGGAAGGCGCAGAGCGUCGCAGACCUCUUUUGCCGGGGGACAAAAGGCCGGACUCGUCCGGUCCUGAGGGUACCCGGAGAAAAAGCAUCGGCUAACUCCGUGCCAGCAGCCGCGGUAAUACGGAGGAUGCGAGCGUUAUCCGGAUUCAUUGGGUUUAAAGGGAGCGUAGAUGGGUUGUUAAGUCAGUUGUGAAAGUUUGCGGCUCAACCGUAAAAUUGCAAUUGAUACUGGCAGUCUUGAGUACAGUUGAGGUAGGCGGAAUUCGUGGUGUAGCGGUGAAAUGCUUAGAUAUCACGAAGAACUCCGAUUGCGAAGGCAGCUUACUAAACUGCCACUGACAUUGAUGCUCGAAAGUGUGGGUAUCAAACAGGAUUAGAUACCCUGGUAAAU